rnacentral:misc_RNA from 1 species
GAAAUGCGAUACGUAAUGUGAAUUGCAGGAUUGUGAAUCAUCAAAUCUUUGAACGCACCUUGCGCUCUUUGGCAUUCCGAAGAGCAUACCUGUUUGAGCGUCAUAAAAAACCCUGUUUUCCCGCUCAGUAAUGAGUGUGGAAAACGAGAUGGGCAGUGCCAUUGACUCAAUGGCGCGGCCUGAAAGAAAGCGGCUACUCUUUUUCUGCCCGUAUAAACGCAACCGUUGCGAAAAAAAGGUGGUGGGAGUCCUUUCGUGGCUUUUUCUAAACCUUUUUCGAGUGACGUGUUGUGGGCGGAAAGUUGUGGCAGGCACACACAAAAACCAGUGGAACCGCUGUAGUACCUACCAGUACUGCACACGUCCCCUCACCAAAAUUUGACCUCAAAUCAGGUAAGAGUACCCGCUGAAUUUAA